rnacentral:rRNA from 1 species
UACAGAGGCCUCGAGCGUUAAUCGGAGUUACUGGGCUUAAAGGGUGCGUAGGCGGUUCUGUAAGUGCCUUGUGAAAUCCCAUGGCUUAACCAUGGAAUUGCUCGGUAGACUGCAGAACUUGAGGUCGGUAGAGGUCGCUGGAACUCUAGGUGGAGCGGUGAAAUGCGUAGAUAUCUAGAGGAACGCCAAAGGUGUAGACAGGCGACUGGGCCGAUUCUGACGCUGAGGCACGAAAGCGUGGGUAGCGAACGGG